rnacentral:lncRNA from 1 species
CUAAAUGCGAAGACAUAUCCCUCAGUGGGGAGGGUUUUAGAUAUGUAAUCUGCUUGUUAGGCUUUCGAACCAUCAUUUCAAAUGGGUCAUACUGAAGGUGGCCAAGGCAAUUAGCUUGGCAUACUUUCUGAGUCCGUCUGACAGACAUAUUUCUGUUGAUGUAUAUUGAUGGAUAUAUUGUAGUGAUUCACAGUAUUCAUUUGAAUUGUUUUGCCACUUCACAUGGCACCUAGAAUACACCCUAAUUUACCCACACACACUCUGUCACAGUCACACUCAAUGACUAAAGGAAACUCAGUGAGCCACCCACACCCCACACAUUUGGACAGCUGUCAUUGCUCAGUCCUUAAUUUAUUUUAUUUAUUAUACGAAAAUAAAGGCUGCUGAAUGAAUGUGCGAGACAUUUCAUGCGUUUUGUAUUUUACAGUGGCAUGUAACUUCCUGAAUACUCCAUCUUCAUGUGCUUCAAGAAAGUGGAUUUCUGGACAGGCAGCAUCUUCAAAGGUCAUAAAUCCCUCUGUUGUCAGCUUUCCUGUUCACACACCUGCGUGGGAACAAGACACACCUAAAUGGUGACUACUCAUUGACAACAAUACUUUCAGUAUCCUGGGUCUGCUUCCUUUCCAUUUAGGAAAGGCUCUCUAAAAUCC